rnacentral:misc_RNA from 1 species
GCAAACUUGGUCAUUUAGAGGAAGUAAAAGUCGUAACAAGGUAACCGUAGGUGAACCUGCGGUUGGAUCAUUACCAAUUUCACUAUUCCUUUUCUCUCCCACUCUUCCAUAAAGGAGGAGUGUGAGGAAAAGAAAUAUAAACACACUUUGUGAACUUGUAAUCGUUUUUGGUGGUUCCUUGCACCGAAGGGUGUACCUUGGGUUUGUAAGCCCACCAAAAGGACCCUCUUGAUUGAUUGUGGUUCUCCCCACAGUCUUCAGAGGGGUUCGAUUUUAUAAAACCCAAUUCUUCUAGUUUUUUAAAAGUCUUUUUUAUUUUUGCUUUUCUUCUUUUCUCUCGGAGAAAAAGGGGAAAUUCAAAAAAAAGCCAAUUGAGAAACAACUUUUAACAACGGAUCUCUUGGCUCUCGCAUCGAUGAAGAACGCAGC